CUGUUCGGAUGUCAAUCUAAGUGGA
rnacentral:piRNA from 1 species